AGUGAACGCUGGCGGCAGGCCUAACACAUGCAAGUCGAACGGCAGCACAGUAAGAGCUUGCUCUUACGGGUGGCGAGUGGCGGACGGGUGAGGAAGACAUCGGAAUCUACUUUUUCGGGGGGGAUAACGUAGGGAAACUUACGCUAAUACCGCAUACGACCUACGGGUGAAAGCAGGGGAUCUUCGGACCUUGCGCGAUUGAAUGAGCCGAUGUCGGAUUAGCUAGUUGGCGGGGUAAAGGCCCACCAAGGCGACGAUCCGUAGCUGGUCUGAGAGGAGGAUCAGCCACCCUGGAACUGAGACACGGUCCAGACUCCUACGGGAGGCAGCAGUGGGGAAUAUUGGACAAUGGGCGCAAGCCUGAUCCAGCAAUACCGCGUGGUUGAAGAAGGCCUUCGGGUGUUAAAGCCCUUUUGUUGGGAAAGAAGAGCAGCAGGUUAAUACGCCGCUGUUCUGACGGUACCCAAAGAAUAAGCACCGGCUAACUUCGUG
rnacentral:rRNA from 1 species